rnacentral:rRNA from 1 species
UACGUAGGUGGCAAGCGUUGUCCGGAUUUACUGGGCGUAAAGAGCGCGCAGGCGGUCGUUCAAGUCGGGUGUGAAAGCCCCGGGCUCAACCUGGGAAUUGCAUUCGAGACUGAAUAGCUAGGGUGCGGAAGAGGGAAGCGGAAUUUCCGGUGUAGCGGUGAAAUGCGUAGAUAAUCGGAAGGAACACCAGUGGCGAAAGCGGCUUCCUGGUCCAGCACCGACGUUCAGGCACGAAAGCGUGGGGAGCAAACAGG